GWCGAACGAACUCUGGUAUUGAUUGGUGCUUGCAUCAUGAUUUACAUUUGAGUGAGUGGCGAACUGGUGAGUAACACGUGGGAAACCUGCCCRGAAGCGGGGGAUAACACCUGGAAACAGAUGCUAAUACCGCAUAACAACUUGGACCGCAUGGUCCGAGYUUGAAAGAUGGCUUCGGCUAUCACUUYUGGAUGGUCCCGCGGCGUAUUAGCUAGAUGGUGAGGUAACGGCUCACCAUGGCAAUGAUACGUAGCCGACCUGAGAGGGUAAUCGGCCACAUUGGGACUGAGACACGGCCCAAACUCCUACGGGAGGCAGCAGUAGGGAAUCUUCCACAAUGGACGAAAGUCUGAUGGAGCAACSCCGCGUGAGUGAAGAAGGGUUUCGGCUCGUAAAACUCUGUUGUUAAAGAAGAACAUAUCUGAGAGUAACUGUUCAGGUAUUGACGGUAUUUAACCAGAAAGCCACGGCUAACUACGUGCCAGCMGCCGCGGUAAUWCGGUCAUAG
rnacentral:rRNA from 2 species